UAUGGGGUGAUGCAAGGAGUGGGUGUGUGAGAUAAAUGCUGAAUAGGCCUGGGGCACAUUUUGACUCCUGUGGACAAAUCUGGAGGCUGGGAAAUCCAAGAACAUGGCACUGGCAUCAGGCAAGGGUCAGCCCAUGCUGGAGGGCAGAAGGCAGAAGUGAGCAUGUGAGACAGAGAUAAGAAAUUAGGCUGAACUUGCUUGUAUAGCAAACCCAGCCUCUCAAUAACUAACCCGCUCCAGCAAUAAUGGCAUUAAUCCAUUCAUGAGGGCAGAGCCCCCAUGACCUAUUCACAUCCUAAAGGCCCCACAUCAAUCAUAUCUCAACAUGAGGUUCAGAGGACACAAACAUUCAAACCAUAGCAGUCUUCCUGAUCCCUGCCUCAAUAAAUGAGUUGACAUCAGAAGGUCAUCUAUGAUGAACUAUUAACUGAAAAUAUUUGGAGAGCAGAAGGAAAAUGAUAACCAUGGAUUUUUGAGAUAAGAGGAGCCAUUCUGAAUGAGGCAUCAAUUGAGUUGAGACUCACACAAAAGAAAAAUCUCCCUUUGCAGACACCAGGAAGUCUGAAACUGAUUCCAUCUGGUUUGUCUGUGAUGUAUAACAUUACUGGGUCAUUAGUCUUUGCCUUUGCUCAAAGCUAACUCUAGCAUCUGGACCGGCAAUGUCAGAGCCCUCACAGGCAUCCCCACACCAACAAUUCUGUAGCCCACGUGGGAGAAGACCUUUGACUUCAAAGGCUGAAAGAGAAUCAACAAAAAAACCUUUUGGCUCCUUAGUGACUAGAGAAUACAUAAGGCCCAAAAAC
rnacentral:lncRNA from 1 species